AUGUCCAAGAAGGUCUGGAAGGUGGCCAAGCUCGCCGUGCAGUCGCUGGAGACGUACUACGGAGACCGGGCCUACCGUUUCUUGUUCGACGCCAUCGCGGACUUCUUCGCCGCGCUCCUCACCUCGGACCUCGAACAGCUUGCCCACGGCGGGAAGAAGAUGAAGAUCGGGCUCGCCGCCAAGUGGUGCCCCACGCCGGGCUCGUCGUUCGACCGCACCACGCUGCUCUGCGAGGCCAUCGCUCGUCGCCUCUUCCCGCGCGACUCGGACCCCGAGUACGCCCAACUCUCGGACGAGCACUACACGUAUCACGCCCUCCACCGCCUUCGCCGUCAGGUGCUCGUGCCGCUGCGCAAGGUCCUGAAGCUUCCGGAGGUGUACAUGAGCGCGCAGCGGUGGUCGGAGCUCCCCUACACUCGAGUGGCCUCGGUGGCCAUGAGGCGCUACAAGCUCCUGUUCAAGAAGCACGACGAGGUGCGCUUCGGCAGGUACCUGGAUGACGUGAAGGCCGGCAAGGCCAAGAUCUCGGCGGGCGCGCUCCUGCCACACGAGAUCGCGGCGGCCGCACUCCUUGGCCAGGAGGACGACGUCUCCGAGCUUCAGUGGCGCCGCAUGGUGGACGACCUCCGCGCCAAGGGGUCGCUGCGCAACUGCAUCUCCGUCUGCGACGUGUCCGCCAGCAUGACCGGCACCCCGAUGGAGGUGUGCAUCGCGCUGGGGGUGCUCGCGUCGGAGCUCAGCGAGAAGCCGUGGAGGGGCAAGGUGAUCACGUUCCAUUCAAGGCCCUCGAUCCACACCAUCAAAGGCAAUACCCUGUGGGAGAAGAUGAAGUUCGUGGAGCGCUUGGAGUGGGGCGGGAGCACCAACUUCCAAGUGUUUGACCAGAUCCUCCGCACGGCCGUGGACGCCGGACUUGCGCCGGAGAAGAUGAUCAGGACCGUGUUCGUGUACAGCGACAUGGAGUUCAACAUGGCGUCGGGGCCGUCGUGGGAGACGGACUACGAGGUGAUCUGCGAGAAGUUCAGGGCCGCCGGCUACGGCGACGUGGUGCCGCAGAUCGUCUUCUGGAACCUGCGCGACUCCAGCUCGAUGCCGGUGACGUCGACCCAGCCCGGGGUGGCCAUUGUGAGCGGCUUCUCCAAGAACAUCCUCAAGAUCUUCCUGCAGAACGACGGCGUGGUGAACCCCGAGGCCAUCAUGAUGCAGGCCAUCGCCGGCGACGAGUACCAGAAGCUGGCCGUGUUUGACUAG
rnacentral:rRNA from 1 species